ensembl:lncRNA
GAUGAAAGUGGAAAGAAAGACGAGAGGAUCGGAUAGGAGAGAAGAGAAGAAGAGGAAAUGAUGGGGCGGGGUUUGAUAGACAGAAGAGAGGAGAGGGAGAGAGGGGUUGAUAGAAUAGGUGAAGAGAGUAGAUCAGAGGGAGCAGAAAAGAAAGGAUGAUGGGAAAGGAGAGAGGGAGUGUGUCGUCAUCUGAAGAGAGAGGAUGGGAGAGGAGGUGAUGAGAGAGGAGGAGAGAGGGAGUGUGUCGUCAUCUGAAGAGAGAGGAUGGGACAGGAGGUGAUGAGAGAGGAGGAGAGAGGGAGUGUGUCGUCAUCUGAAGAGAGAGGAUGGGAGAGGAGGUGAUGAGAGAGGAGGAGAGAGGGAGUGUGUCGUCAUCUGAAGAGAGAGGAUGGGACAGGAGGUGAUGAGAGAGGAGGAGAGAGGGAGUGUGUCGUCAUCUGAAGAGAGAGGAUGGGAGAGGAGGUGAUGAGAGAGGAGGAGAGAGGGAGUGUGUCGUCAUCUGAAGAGAGAGGAUGGGACAGGAGGUGAUGAGAGGAGGAGAGAGGGAGUGUGUCGUCAUCUGAAGAGAGAGGAUGGGACAGGAGGUGAUGAGAGAGGAGGAGAGAGGGAGUGUGUCGUCAUCUGAAGAGAGAGGAUGGGACAGGAGGUGAUGAGAG